CCUUCAAUUUCUCCAAAUACCCCUAUUUCAAAACUUAAUUAAUACAAAAAAUAUUCUUAAUACAAAAAAUAUUCUUAAUUACAUCACCAACUCCACCAUCAACCAAUAAAUCUCUCGUUAACCCACAAAACCCCUUAAUUUGUUUCACAAGAGAUUGGCACAACAACAGUAUAAUAAUAGAGGCAAUCAUUGCCAAAGUGGCAAACUCAUCUGGUGUGUCACCAAUCAUUAAACACCCUAACAUUUAUUCUUCUAACAACAACUUUUUUGUUGUCAACUUCUGUAAAUCUCCAUUCUUCAUUCCCUUAAUCCCCCAUCUCUUUCUCUCACAAAGUGUUAGCUAGUUUUAAUUAUUUUUGUUGAAGAAAUCAGAAAAUUAAAAAUAAAAAUAAAAUAAAAUGGGAGUUUCAUUAUUUGUGUUAGGGUGCACAGGUAUGGUUAUGUUUUACCAUGGAGCUCAUCUACUCUUCCAUGUCCUCUCUUCUCAUGUUGCUCUUCGUUCUCUCAGUUUCCUGGGAUUUGUUGGAUGGUAAAUUCAAGAUGAGAAGCUACUGAACGAUCAUAAGAAAAUUUAAGGAUAAUGAUCAUUUGGAACUUUUAAUGGAUAGUUCUUAUACUUCUGCAGUACAUAGUUGGAUUAUUGGAUCAAUAAAAUUUUGGAUUUUAAGCCAUUUGAAAAUGCUUUAAUAAAUGUCAACCCAUCAUUGUUUAGCACACUUUUGGUGGGUUCGGCGGUAACGUUUACGGUAGCGGAUAGCGUUUUAAUGUAUUCACUAAAUGUUUAGUGAGAUAGAGCCAUAGAGGUUAGUGGUAGUCUGGUAGAUGUAGCGGCUAAGUAACUUUUCUCAAACGUCAAAAAUAGUACUCUAUGGUGUUUAAGAACAUAUACAUUGGUUGACUCUUCAAAAGAGCUAUUGGAGGGUUCUCCACUCUCUCUCUACCAUCAUCUCUCUACAAGACACCAAUAAUUGAUUCUAAAAAGCACCCAACGUUGGUUGGUUCCUCAAUUGAGCUCUCCAAUAUAUUAAUUUUCAACCAUUUGGUGGUUCGUAA